UACGUAGGGGGCAAGCGUUAUCCGGAUUUACUGGGUGUAAAGGGGGCGCAGACGGCAAUGCAAGCCAGGAGUGAAAGCCCGGGGCCCAACCCCGGGACUGCUCUUGGAACUGCAUGGCUGGAGUACAGGAGGGGCAGGCGGAAUUCCUAGUGUAGCGGUGAAAUGCGUAGAUAUUAGGAGGAACACCAGUGGCGAAGGCGGCCUGCUGGACGACAACUGACGGUGAGGCGCGAAAGCGUGGGGAGCAAACAGG
rnacentral:rRNA from 1 species